CUCUACUGCAAUGUAGUUGUCCUUGGCAAGCCAUGUUAGAUUAUAUUGCAACAGUUUCUCCAAUCCUGGUAGAAUUCCAAGGCUUUCAGCAGGAAUUUAUUAGGUAAGCAGAUUUUUAGGCAAAACUGCUUAUUCCCAUGUGUUAAACUUGAUCUCCUGGAAAUAUAUGGCCCAAAAUUAGGAGUUGAGACAUGACUGAUUGCAAGUUGCCAACUGCCCCUUUUUUAUGGCUCUUUCCCUUCCAACCCCUUUGCCAUCCAAGUGUUAGCCUCCCACUGGGAAGGCUGGAAUCAUUGGGUCAAUAUGUGCUGCCCCUAUAUGCUAUCGAUCUCUUUAUACUGUUUGUAGAGUUCCUUGUUGCACUGACUUGCAUUUUUGCUGGAGUUUGCUUGUGAAUCAAGGGUAAGAAAAAAAAGAAAGCAGGGUGAAUGAGGACGGUGAAGGAUGCUGACAGUGCAAAAAUUAAAGAAAAAGAAAAAAGCACUGAUUAUUACAGCUUACCAGAAUAAGAUCUCCAGCUUUACUUUUA